UGUUGUAUUUGCGUGUGGACUAAGUAU
rnacentral:sRNA from 1 species